rnacentral:lncRNA from 1 species
UUAAUCAACCCUAAACCAAACAAGUUUUGACCUAAGUGGAUUUCAUUAGUCCAUAAGUUCAAGACUCCAUAAGUCCCUCAAAAAAUAUCCAAAUAACUUGAAAAAAAAUACUAAAGGAAAAAAUAAUGGGGGUCUAUGUUGGACAUAUUUCAGAAUAAAAAAAAAAGUAACAAUAAAAAAAAUAAAAAAUGGAAAUAAAUGGUGAAAUAAAAUAAAACAAGUGAUAGAAAAAAUAAAGGAUUUUCACACACCGGGGGUUGAACCCCUAACCUUGGGAUCAUGGGGGGAUCAACCCCCUC